rnacentral:rRNA from 1 species
UACGGGGGGAGCAAGCGUUGUUCGGAUUUAUUGGGCGUAAAGGGCGCGUAGGCGGCCAUUCAAGUGACGGGUGAAAGCCCUCGGCUUAACCGAGGAACUGCCUGUCAGACUGGAUGGCUUGAGACCGGGAGAGGUGAGUGGAAUUCCCAGUGUAGCGGUGAAAUGCGUAGAUAUCUGGAGGAACACCGGUGGCGAAGGCGGCAUCCUGGACCGAGAUUGACGCUGAGGCGCGAAAGCUAGGGGAGCAAACGGG